rnacentral:lncRNA from 1 species
UUAAGGCGGUGGGCCUGCAUUCUCACUCUGGUUAUUUGCACUUCAGGUGAAGAAAGUGUUUAUCUUUUCAAGGGCUUUUCUGUGAAAACUAAUAGACCCCUGACACGUGUCUCGUUGGUGGAAUUUGAAAUGUCGUUGGUGGAAUUUGAUAUGUGGAGAAUAACUCUCGGUGAAAGAGAAUAAAAGUGGACGAAAACCAAUGCUUUGUAAACUUCAAGCAGUGCUUGAAUGAAAA